rnacentral:sRNA from 1 species
GAGGGUCGCUCUGACCCGGCCCGAUGACACCAACCGAAGCCGAUGACGCCGUCGUGAGACGGAUCCGAUGGUGGUUCCCCUAUGGGGAACCCUCGCCCUUUAGGGUGGGGAGGAGGUCAGCAAGCUCAAAGGC